rnacentral:lncRNA from 1 species
UGGUAGCUUCGUUUAUAUUCUUGUUACCUGCUGCCACAAUUGAAUGUGAUGUUUGAUAUCAUUUUUGUUGAUGAAAACUAUCUCCUCGCAGGCUUUUCCUAAUGUUGCAAAGGUUUCCAGUAGAAUCCAAAGGGAGGCGGAAGAAGCUGCAAGAGGUGAAACGUGAAUUUCAAACUAGAAAGUUGACAGAUUAAGUUUCAUAUUUACUUUACCCACUUUAUGUGUUGUUGUUUAUGCGUAUGACACAGGUUGGUUACGUGACAAGCAUAUGCUUUACGUGUUUCCUCAUCAGAUGUAUCAUGGUAAGCAUAUUAGUGAUACUAGUGGUCAAAUUUUGAAGCUACAGCUAACAAAGAGCUUUUUAUUUCAUCUUUUUUAUUAAUGGUGUAGAUGUGCUUUAAUGCGUUCGACGAUGCAGCGGAUCUUGAUGUCUUGGAUCACCCCAUCCUAAAUUUCAUAUAUUACCUGGUAAGCUAUAUACAUAGUGGAUCAUGGAUGUAAAAAUAGAAGUGUGAAAACUUGUUUUGAAAAUCUCUAACAGAAGUCGUGUUAUCUGGUUUAAUUACAGUUGGUGGAGAUAUUACCUUCUUCUCUGGUCCUCUUUAUCCUAAGAAAGCUUCCACCAAAACGCGGUAUCACACAGUACCAUCAGAUUCAGUGAAACUGAGAGUGUAUCCCAUGGAGAUGGAUGCAAACAAUUGAAACACCUGAGGUAAUACAAUAAUAGAGAGAGA